rnacentral:rRNA from 1 species
GAUGAACGCUGGCGGCGUGCCUAAUACAUGCAAGUCGAGCGAACAGAUGAGGAGCUUGCCCCUCUGACGUUAGCGGCGGACGGGUGAGUAACACGUGGAUAACCUACCUAUAAGACUGGGAUAACUUCGGGAAACCGGAGCUAAUACCGGAUAAUAUAUUGAACCGCAUGGUUCAAUAGUGAAAGACGGUUUUGCUGUCACUUAUAGAUGGAUCCGCGCCGCAUUAGCUAGUUGGUAAGGUAACGGCUUACCAAGGCGACGAUGCGUAGCCGACCUGAGAGGGUGAUCGGCCACACUGGAACUGAGACACGGUCCAGACUCCUACGGGAGGCAGCAGUAGGGAAUCUUCCGCAAUGGGCGAAAGCCUGACGGAGCAACGCCGCGUGAGUGAUGAAGGACUUCGGAUCGUAAAACUCUGUUAUUAGGGAAGAACAAAUGUGUAAGUAACUAUGCACGUCUUGACGGUACCUAAUCAGAAAGCCACGGCUAACUACGUG